GACGUAGGGUGCAAGCGUUGUCCGGAUUUACUGGGCGUAAAGAGCGCGUAGGCGGUUCAUUAAGUGUGAAGCUAAAUCUCUUGGCUCAACCAAGAAACUAUUUCGCAUACUGAUGGGCUGGAGUGAUGCAGAGGUGGAUAGAAUUCCCGGUGUAGCGGUGAAAUGCGCAGAUAUCAGGAGGAACACCGGUGGCGAAGGCGGGUCUCUGGGCCGAUACUGACGCUGAGGAGCGAAAGCGUGGGGAGCGAACAGG
rnacentral:rRNA from 1 species